CUGCGAAUGGCUCAUUAUAUAAGUUAUCGUUUAUUUGAUAGUACCUUACUACUUGGAUAACCGUGGUAAUUCUAGAGCUAAUACAUGCUAAAAAUCCCGACUUCGGAAGGGAUGUAUUUAUUAGAUUAAAAACCAAUGCCCUCUGGGCUCCUUGGUGAUUCAUGAUAACUCUUCGAAUCGCACGGCCUUGCGCCGGCGAUGGUUCAUUCAAAUUUCUUCCCUAUCAACUUUCGAUGUUUGGGUAUUGGCCAAACAUGGUUGCAACGGGUAACGGAGGGUUAGGGCUCGACCCCGGAGAAGGAGCCUGAGAAACGGCUACUACAUCCAAGGAAGGCAGCAGGCGCGCAAAUUACCCAAUCCCGAUUCGGGGAGGUAGUGACAAUAAAUACUGAUACAGGGCUCUUUUGGGUCUUGUAAUUGGAAUGAGUACAAUUUAAAUCUCUUAACGAGGAACAAUUGGAGGGCAAGUCUGGUGCCAGCAGCCGCGGUAAUUCCAGCUCCAAUAGCGUAUAUUAAAGUUGUUGUGGUUAAAAAGCUCGUAGUUGAACCUUGGGCCUGGCUGGCCGGUCCGCCUCACCGCGUGCACUGGUCCGGCCGGGCCUUUCCCUCUGUGGAACCCCAUGCCCUUCACUGGGCGUGGCGGGGAAACAGGACGUUUACUUUGAAAAAAUUAGAGUGCUCCAGGCAGGCCUAUGCUCGAAUACAUUAGCAUGGAAUAAUGAAAUAGGACGCGUGGUUCUAUUUUGUUGGUUUCUAGGACCGCCGUAAUGAUUAAUAGGGACAGUCGGGGGCAUCAGUAUUCAAUUGUCAGAGGUGAAAUUCUUGGAUUUAUUGAAGACUAACUACUGCGAAAGCAUUUGCCAAGGAUGUUUUCAUUAAUCAGGAACGAAAGUUAGGGGAUCGAAGACGAUCAGAUACCGUCGUAGUCUUAACCAUAAACUAUGCCGACUAGGGAUCGGACGAUGUUAUUUUUUGACGCGUUCGGCACCUUACGAGAAAUCAAAGUGCUUGGGCUC
rnacentral:rRNA from 1 species